UGAUAAAUGUCAGUUUAAGUGCUUCAGACACACAAAGCCUUAAAGCACACAGUUUAUGUAACAAGUGUUUACCAGACACUUCCCUAAGCACUGAGGUGACUAACAAGAGAAAGCCUUUUUUCUCCUUUGCUCGAGGAGCUGUGGGACAGUUAAUCUUGAUUGUCAACUUGAUUAGAUUGUGAAAUACCUAUAAAUUUAGUAGCACUCACUUUUAGGUGUGUAUUUGCAGGUGUUUUCCAGGAUGAUUGGCAUGUUGGACAGCAAACCAAGGGCAGAAACCUACCUUGAACACAGGCAGACAUCCUGAUCAAACUCUCAGAGGAGACUGAAGUGGAAGAGGGUCUGUCAGGCAACCCCAAGCCACCUCUCACUCCUGGGAAUUGACUCCAAAUCCUUGGAAAAUGCAUCCUGUCACUGCCUUCUAUUGGAACAGAUACCAUCCUUUUUCAAAAGGAAGGUGCCUGAAGCAGAAGGACUGGAAUCCUUCACUGUUCCCCUUGGGCUUCUAGUGAUUUAAGGCGAGGUUAGGAGCCCUGAUCCUGAGACCAGACUGCUGCCACUCAGAGGGUCAGGGCUGCUGCUCACUACACUGCUGACGCCUGGCUGUCCCUUAACCUCCUACCAUCCCCAAUGUGAAGAAAAUGAAGAUUCCUUUGAUGAGGAAUAAAUUCAUGAAUAUGCAAAGCACUAGGAGCCAGACGGGCCCAUAGGAAGAAUUAUUUUACUACUGGUGUUAUGAUUUACCAGGCAAUGGCAAAACAUAGGGGCCUGUCUGAAGGAAAAACUCUUCCUUCAUCUGCUGCAUAAACAUUUAUGUUAACUAGUUUUUGCUAAGCAUAGCAGGUAGGGAAGGAACCCAAUCAAGGCAGGAAUGGUACAGUUUAAAGUUGUCCUGCCUUUGACAUCAAACAUAAGUGUCAUGUCCCUGUGGGUGUCUGAAACUGCAGAUAGUAGCAAAUCCUAUAGAGACUGUUACUCUCUGUGUCAUACAUAAGGUAUUAACAAUAAGAAAUAAUAGUAAAAUAGAACAAUUUAAACAAUAUACUUAAAAGUCCUGUGCAUGUGGUCUCUCUCCAGAAGGAGUUAAGCCAAAGGUUGAUAUUUGGAUUGUAGGUGACUAUAGGUAACCAAAAUAUGGAAGUGAAACCGAGGAAAGGGAGGAACUGUUGUAGUUGUCAAUUACACUUCUGGUAUGUAACGAGGGAGGAGUCAAGGGCUGUGAUGGAGGAUAAGGCGUGGAGUCUGCCUAACUUGGGAAUGGAGAGAAAGGCUGAGUUGGAGUCAGGAAACCAGUUAGCACAUCAGAGUUGGCGACACUCCAGGCUCCAAGGCCCACAGAGCCUGCCUGGAUCCACCAACUCUUCCUUUCACGUCUGCUCCAGCAGCGCUCAGGCCCUGAGGAGAUCAGCCACUGUGACUAGAGGGAGACGGUACCCAGGACAUCACUAUCAGAUGUUCCCAGUGGACAUCCCAAAGGAUGCAGCACUUAACUUCCCCUGGGCAUCGCUGGCUGUAGAAGGUACAGGUCAGAGUGCUUAGCAUGAAGAAGACAUGGCACAGACCGACUGAAGCCCCUGGGGUAAUCUGGGAAUGCUAGAGAUGUGUUCUGGGAGGUGCCAAUGGGUAAGGGCCUGCCUUCCCAGGUGAAGACGCAGAGUUGCCAUCUUUGAAUGUUGGUGCCGCCGGUGUGUCCUCAUUUGUACUCAAAGAAUGGCGAUAUCUGGACCACUUAGAUUAUCCAAACAAAUGAGCAGUCCAUGGUUUUUUCUGUUGACUUUGGUCAUUUAUAGUAGAGCUUCAAUUUCUUCUCUCCUACUCUAAGCAUUUCAGAGAGUUAAACUACAAACUUGUUUCUUGGAUUCAUUCCUCAUGUUUUUUAAACUGGGAGUGUGCAGUAUCUGAUAAUUAUCUUUUUUGCCCUCUUGGGAUAUUAUUAAGAAUUGAUCUUUGCAUUCUUUCCCUUUUAGCAUGCAGUUUCCCACUUAAAAUUAUUAUGUUAUUGCAUAUUUCUUGAGUAAGAUUCAUUUAAAAUCUCUUUAGCCUCUGGGAAUAUGAGACUUCUUUGGUAUUUCUGUAUCUUUAUAUGAACAAGAUGUCAAUUUCUUGAUUUCAUUAAAUCACUAGGAAUGGAUGCCUUGUGAGUAAUAAUGGAGAUCUGGUCUUCUUUAAAAAGAAAAGACAGAGAGCUGUGAGAACCAGAAAUUAUUCCUACACCAUUUUCCUUGAGACUUCUAACUUCUUCCAUGUUUGAUGCUUGCCAGAUCUUCUCUCCAAAAAUGUGGUUUGUCUAAGAGGACUGGGCUGAUGACGUCAGCUUGGGAGAUGAAACUACACGGUAGAAGUCAGCUUUUUCCCCCUCUCAAUUUCACUGGCAAAAGUAUGUGUAUUAUGUAUUAGAUAUAAUAAUGUUAUGCACAAUAUAUAUUAUUUCAGGGACAAUCCUUCCAUUUUGUUAGCUCAUAUC